CACAGAACCGGUAGUAAAAAAAAAAUUGAAUCCCACCACUGCUUUAUAUCUGUAUUUGUUUCUAACUUGUUGAUCCUCUUUCGUCAUUCAUUUUCUAACCUUUGCAUCUAUUUUCUAGCCAAUUGUACCAUAGGUCCCAUAUUAGGUAAUACUCUGUUUCUCCUUUGUCUUUGUCACUAAAUGAAUUGUUGUAAGUCGAUGACUUGCUGUAUAAGCAGAAGAGUAGCCUUUAGUCCAGCAGGUCAUUUCUGGCUUAAUUUAAAUCAGGCUCCUGCUGUCUACAGCUACCUACAAUGCCCUGAAGCUUGGGAAGGAGAAAGACAAGGCUGUCUUUCUAACCCUCCACCCUGGCUUCUUCUCAUCCUGCGUUCUCAUAUUUCCGAGAGCUUUAUGACGGCGGACAAUGAAAACUCGUCCUGUACCCAACUCUUAUCAAUUACCAUGCGACGGGCAUAAGAGGAAAAAAAGGGGAAUUCUUUCGUUAGACGGGCACCAUAGGAACUCAGCUGCUCGCCCAGGGCCACAGCGGUAGCCCGGAGCAAAACAGGGAAAGGGUGAAAUAUCAGAGAGAGCAAGCUUAUUAUUAAACAAAACGAUAAACCUCUGCUUUUGCACCUUGGCACCGAGCGAAAUCUACCAGCUGGGUUCCCAUAGGCCUGCUACCUUGUCCGCCAGGAUAGCCACAGGCGGUUUCUGUCGCCCCUUGCAAAGAUGUUCUCUAUCGGGAA